UACGAAGGGGGCUAGCGUUGCUCGGAAUUACUGGGCGUAAAGCGCACGUAGGCGGCUUUCUAAGUCGGGGGUGAAAUCCUGGAGCUCAACUCCAGAACUGCCUUCGAUACUGGAAAGCUUGAGUCCGGGAGAGGUGAGUGGAACUGCGAGUGUAGAGGUGAAAUUCGUAGAUAUUCGCAAGAACACCGGUGGCGAAGGCGGGUCUCUGGGCAGUAACUGACGCUGAGGAGCGAAAGCGUGGGGAGCGAACAGG
rnacentral:rRNA from 1 species